GGAGGGUGCGAGCGUUGUCCGGAAUCAUUGGGCGUAAAGGGCGCGUAGGUGGCCCGGUCAGUUCGUGGUGAAAGCGCGGGGCUCAACCCUGCGUCGGCCAUGAAUACUGCCGCGGCUGGAGCACUGUAGAGGCAGGCGGAAUUCCGGGUGUAGCGGUGGAAUGCGUAGAGAUCCGGAAGAACACCGGUGGCGAAGGCGGCCUGCUGGGCAGUUGCUGACACUGAGGCGCGACAGCGUGGGGAGCAAACAGGAUUAGAUACCCUGGUAGUCCACGCCGUAAACGAUGGGCACUAGGCGCUUGGGGGAGCGACCCCCCGAGGGCCGGCGCUAACGCAUUAAGUGCCCCGCCUGGGGAGUACGGCCGCAAGG
rnacentral:rRNA from 1 species